AGUGAACGCUGGCGGUAGGCCUAACACAUGCAAGUCGAACGGCAGCACAGGAGAGCUUGCUCUCUGGGUGGCGAGUGGCGGACGGGUGAGGAAUACAUCGGAAUCUGCCCAGUCGUGGGGGAUAACGUAGGGAAACUUACGCUAAUACCGCAUACGACCUUCGGGUGAAAGAGGGGGAUCGCAAGACCUCUCGCGAUUGGAUGAGCCGAUGUCGGAUUAGCUAGUUGGCGGGGUAAUGGCCCACCAAGGCGACGAUCCGUAGCUGGUCUGAGGGGAUGAUCAGCCACACUGGAACUGAGACACGGUCCAGACUCCUACGGGAGGCAGCAGUGGGGAAUAUUGGACAAUGGGCGCAAGCCUGAUCCAGCCAUACCGCGUGGGUGAAGAAGGCCUUCGGGUUGUAAAGCCCUUUUGUUGGGAAAGAAAUCUUUCAGGCUAAUACCCUGGGAGGAUGACGGUACCCAAAGAAUAAGCACCGGCUAACUUCGUG
rnacentral:rRNA from 1 species